rnacentral:rRNA from 1 species
GGUUAAGUGACUAAGCGUACACGGUGGAUGCCUUGGCAGUCAGAGGCGAUGAAAGACGUAGUAACUUGCGAUAAGCCCAGAUUAGGUAGUAACAACCAUUUGAGUCUGGGAUUUCUGAAUGGGGAAACCCACUUACAUAAGUAAGUAUCAUUAACUGAAUACAUAGGUUAAUGAGGCGAACCGGGGGAACUGAAACAUCUAAGUACCCCGAGGAAAAGAAAUCAACCGAGAUUCCGAAAGUAGCGGCGAGCGAAAUUGGACUAGCCCUUAAGCUUUACACGCGUUAGACGAACGGUCUGGAAAGUCCGACGAUACAGGGUGAUAGUCCCGUAGUUGACGACGUGUGUUCAGUGAAAUCGAGUAGGGCGGGACACGUGAUAUCCUGUCUGAAUAUGGGGGGACCAUCCUCCAAGGCUAAAUACUACUGACUGACCGAUAGUGAACCAGUACCGUGAGGGAAAGGCGAAAAGAACCCCUGUGAGGGGAGUGAAAUAGAACCUGAAACCGUGUACGUACAAGCAGUAGGAGCAGGCUUUGUCCUGUGACUGCGUACCUUUUGUAUAAUGGGUCAGCGACUUAUAUUCAGUGGCAAGGUUAACCAUCUAGGGGAGCCGUAGGGAAACCGAGUCUUAACUGGGCGUUCAGUCUCUGGAUAUAGACCCGAAACCAGGUGAUCUAGCCAUGGGCAGGUUGAAGGUUGAGUAACAUCAACUGGAGGACCGAACCGACUAAUGUUGAAAAAUUAGCGGAUGACUUGUGGCUAGGGGUGAAAGGCCAAUCAAACCUGGAGAUAGCUGGUUCUCCCCGAAAGCUAUUUAGGUAGCGCCUCGGACGAAUACUACUGGGGGUAGAGCACUGUUAAGGCUAGGGGGUCAUCCCGACUUACCAACCCUUUGCAAACUCCGAAUACCAGUAAGUACUAUCCGGGAGACACACGGCGGGUGCUAACGUCCGUCGUGGAGAGGGAAACAACCCAGACCGCCAGCUAAGGUCCCAAAUUACUACUAAGUGGGAAACGAUGUGGGAAGGCUCAGACAGCCAGGAUGUUGGCUUAGAAGCAGCCAUCAUUUAAAGAAAGCGUAAUAGCUCACUGGUCGAGUCGGCCUGCGCGGAAGAUGUAACGGGGCUAAGUAGUAAACCGAAGCUGCGGCAAUAUACUUUUGUAUAUUGGGUAGGGGAGCGUUCUGUAAGCGGUUGAAGGUGUGUGGUAACGCAUGCUGGACGUAUCAGAAGUGCGAAUGCUGACAUGAGUAACGAUAAAGGGGGUGAAAAACCUCCUCGCCGGAAGACCAAGGGUUCCUGUCCAACGUUAAUCGGGGCAGGGUAAGUCGACCCCUAAGGCGAGGCCGAAAGGCGUAGUCGAUGGGAAACGGGUUAAUAUUCCCGUACUUCUUACAAUUGCGAUGGGGGGACGGAGAAGGCUAGGUGGGCCUGGCGACGGUUGUCCAGGUUCAAGUGCGUAGGCUUAAGAGUUAGGUAAAUCCGGCUCUUU